UACCAGUGACCAAGAUUAGCUAUAUUUUUCAUUCGCUUUUGUUUCAUAAAAUUCUUUGACAAGGAGAAUUGCACUAUCUAUCGAUAUUAAAAAUGAACUACGGUAAUCUAGCUCAACGUUAAAGCAGUUAAAUUAAAUGCCUGAAAUUAUGUUUUGCAUAAAAAAUGCACUAAAACCGGCAAUAUUAAGUUUGAUGUUGGCAUUUUUUGAUUAAGAGCGUGUGUCGGACGAUAGAAAUCUCCUAUGGUGAGCUGUAAAAAUGACGCAGGGGCGGUUCUUUACACUGUAAAUAAGAUGUGCGCGCUACAUAAUAAUACAGGAAAAAGGCUAAAAAUAAUGAUUAUUUGCAUAAUGAAUUUUCCAUUACUGCUAGCAGUUAUAUUGCAAAUGCGAACGUUACAAUAUGGAGAUAUUGUAGGUCUUGCUUUGGAAAAGAGGAAAACACAGCGAGAAGUUUUGUACAUGGAGCCUUCUUCACGAACCAUUACUUCAAUAAACUACACCAUUUCAAUAAACAACAUACACAGAACUGUCC